UGGGGAAUAUUGGGCAAUGGGGGAACCCUGACCCAGCAACGCCGCGUGAAGGAAGAAGGUUUUCGGAUUGUAAACUUCUGUCCUAAGGGAAGAAAGAAAUGACGGUACCUUAGGAGGAAGCCCCGGCUAACUACGUGCCAGCAGCCGCGGUAAUACGUAGGGGGCAAGCGUUGUCCGGAAUUAUUGGGCGUAAAGGGUGCGUAGGCGGCCGAUCAAGUCAGGUGUGAAAGACCCGUGCUUAACAUGGGGGUUGCACUUGAAACUGGUUGGCUUGAGUAUGGGAGAGGCAAGCGGAAUUCCCGGUGUAGCGGUGAAAUGCGUAGAGAUCGGGAGGAACACCAGUGGCGAAGGCGGCUUGCUGGACCAAAACUGACGCUGAGGCACGAAAGCGUGGGUAGCAAACAGGUUAGAUACC
rnacentral:rRNA from 1 species